ACCGCUCUCAUUUUCUUCUCCCUACUGCUGGCCGCCGCUGUGGCUGGCCGCGACCUUGACAAGAAGAAGGCCGAAUCCUCCAAGGACAGCGCGGGCCCCGCCACCUACAUCCCGGGGUACGGGGCCGACCCCGGCGGGUACUUCGGACCCGGCGGGGGGUUCAACAUGCCAGGAGGGUUCGGCGGCGGGUGGGGCGCGGGAUACGGCGGGCCCGGAGGCGGGUAUGGCCACGACGGCGUGGUCCUGCCCUCGGUGGUGUGCUCCGACAAGGGGCCGUGCUACAAGAAGAAGUUGACGUGCCCCGCCAGUUGCUUCACGUCCUACAGCCACUACGGCAAGGGUGGUGGCGGCGGCGGUGGUGGCGGAGGCUGCACCAUGGACUG
rnacentral:lncRNA from 1 species